AUGACUUUACUCGUGAUACAAAGAAGAAGAAGCCCACACCUGAUAAUUCGGCAGAGACCGCGCCGCGGUCCUGCCAGGCACAAUGAGUGGCUUGGGAACCCCGAGGCAGUUCGGGAGCUUCGCAAUAUCGUGAAGCUGGAAGGCCCCUCCCUUCUCUUUGUAAUGGAAACUAAAAUCAGUGCCAAAAGAGUUGAGGAUCUGAAGUUUACGCUGGGUUUUGCAGGCAGUUUUGCAGUGGAUAGUGUUGGCCUUAGUGGCGGCAUAGGUCUUUUC
rnacentral:rRNA from 1 species